rnacentral:rRNA from 1 species
GUGACCUCAAAUCAGGUAGGACUACCCGCUGAACUUAAGCAUAUCAAUAAGCGGAGGAAAAGAAACUAACAAGGAUUCCCCUAGUAACUGCGAGUGAAGCGGGAAAAGCUCAAAUUUAAAAUCUGGCGGUCUUUUGGCUGUCCGAGUUGUAAUCUAGAGAAGUGUUAUCCGCGCUGGACCGUGUACAAGUCUCCUGGAAUGGAGCAUCAUAGAGGGUGAGAAUCCC